GAUAAUUGCUCAGACGGUAUAAGUUGAGUGCUUAUAAUGUGUACAUUUUUUCAUCUCAGUAUGCUUGAAUUGUCUUUUUAAUCUGUGUUUAAAGUAUUACUUGCUAAAAUACGUAUUGGUAGAAAAACUAAAAAUGACUGCUUUAAGAAAUACAUUUUGUGAUGACAUGAGAAAAGCAACAAGAAAGAUUCAUGCUGUGAGCGAUUCUUUAGUCAAUUUCAAAUUAGCACUAGGUUAGUGCUAAACAUUGAAUUUACUCAAAUUAUAGAAGAAACGGAAUAUUUGUGUCCAUUAUCGAUUUCCAUCUUAUAAUUUUUAUGAGAAAGGAGUCGUAUUAAGGUUUACUCCGAAAUGAUGUGUGAACAGAUGGUCUUUUAAUAUUUUAUGACAUUUUUCUUUUCUGGAAACAAUUAUAGAGACCGAACAAAAUGCUUUCUCGGCACGUUUCCAAUUUUUAAAUGAUCUUUACCGAGUGCAAGCCUUAAAAGAUGAUUUGAACUUCUACUUAGGUCCGAAUUGGUCUAGAACGUACACUCCAAGAGAAAAAUAACACCAAAAAUAUACACUGACGGACGCAUUUCUCCACGCGGAAUAGAACAUGUUACUAUUUAACCAAAAAACAGAAAAUGAAGACUAUUUCUGAGCGAAAAAAAACAGUUUAAAAAUACUUAAAUCAUCUACACAAUUUAAAAAAGAAGAAUCCAAUACUUAUAAUGGCGUACAUCUAUCAUCGGUACAUGGGUCUCCUGAGUGGUGGUAUUAUCUUGAAAAGAAAAAGACAAAUG